UACAGAGGUGGCAAGCGUUGUUCGGAAUUACUGGGCGUAAAGAGUGCGUAGGUGGUUCCGCAAGUUUGUCGUGAAAUCUCCCGGCUUAACUGGGAGGGUGCGGCGAAAACUGCGGGGCUGGAGUGUGGGAGAGGUAAGCGGAAUUCCUGGUGUAGCGGUGAAAUGCGUAGAUAUCAGGAGGAACACCGGCGGUGUAGACGGCUUACUGGACCAUGACUGACGCUGAGGCACGAAAGCGUGGGGAGCAAAAGGG
rnacentral:rRNA from 1 species